GAGGACCGGGAUGGACAGACCGCUGGUGUACCUGUUGAGCUGCCAAGCUCAGAGCAGGGUAGCCAAGUCUGGCAGGGAUAAACGCUGAAGGCAUCUAAGCGUGAAGCCCCCCUCAAGAUAAGAUAUCCCAUCGUAAGAGUAAGACCCCUUGAAGACGACGAGGUUGAUAGGCUUCGGGUGGAAGUGUAGCAAUGCAUGGAGCUGAGAAGUACUAAUAGGUCGAGGGCUUGACCAG
rnacentral:rRNA from 1 species